rnacentral:rRNA from 1 species
CCUACGGGAGGCAGCAGUGGGGAAUAUUGCACAAUGGGGGAAACCCUGAUGCAGCGACGCCGCGUGAGUGAAGAAGUAAUUCGUUAUGUAAAGCUCUAUCAGCAGGGAAGAAAAUGACGGUACCUGAGUAAGAAGCCCCGGCUAACUACGUGCCAGCAGCCGCGGUAAUACGUAGGGGGCAAGCGUUAUCCGGAUUUACUGGGUGUAAAGGGAGCGUAGACGGCAGUGCAAGUCUGGAGUGAAAGGCGGGGGCUCAACCCACGGACUGCUCUGGAAACUGUACGGCUUGAGUGCAGGAGAGGUAAGUGGAAUUCCUAGUGUAGCGGUGAAAUGCGUAGAUAUUAGGAGGAACACCAGUGGCGAAGGCGGCUUACUGGACUGUAACUGACGUUGAGGCUCGAAAGCGUGGGGAGCAAACAGGAUUAGAUACCCCAGUAGUC